UCAAAAUUCCGCCGCACCAAUGACGACCGUCACAGCUGAUGCCAAAAACAUUUCGUCGCACUUGAAUCUCCAGAGGUGACGUCGUGGAAUUAUAAUGAUGAUUGAGGCUAUCACCACCGAUUUAGAAUUCAAGAGGCUCGAUGCGGUCCAGAGAGAAAGGGAGUCUUCUGAGUUUUUGAAUUUUUGUGAGUUUUUCCUUCCGAAACUCUUUCUAGAGUUUUCUGCGUAUUCUCCUGAAAUCUGCAU